UGACGGUACCUGACUAAGAAGCUCCGGCUAAAUACGUGCCAGCAGCCGCGGUAAUACGUAUGGAGCAAGCGUUAUCCGGAUUUACUGGGUGUAAAGGGUGCGUAGGCGGCAUGGUAAGUCAGAUGUGAAAGACCGGGGCUCAACUCCGGGGCUGCAUUUGAAACUGCCAGGCUUGAGUACAGGAGAGGCAGGCGGAAUUCCUAGUGUAGCGGUGAAAUGCGUAGAUAUUAGGAGGAACACCAGUGGCGAAGGCGGCCUGCUGGACUGUUACUGACGCUGAGGCACGAAAGCGUGGGGAGCAAACAGGAUUAGAUACCCUG
rnacentral:rRNA from 1 species